UGACUGCGUACCUUUUGUAUAAUGGGUCAGCGACUUAUAUUCUGUAGCAAGGUUAACCGUAUAGGGGAGCCGCAGGGAAACCGAGUCUUAACCGGGCGUUAAGUUGCAGGGUAUAGACCCGAAACCCGGUGAUCUAGCCAUGGGCAGGUUGAAGGUUGGGUAACACUAACUGGAGGACCGAACCGACUAAUGUUGAAAAAUUAGCGGAUGACCUGUGGCUGGGGGUGAAAGGCCAAUCAAACCGGGAGAUAGCUGGUUCUCCCCGAAAGCUAUUUAGGUAGCGCCUCGUGAAUUCAUCUCCGGGGGUAGAGCACUGUUUCGGCUAGGGGGCCAUCCCGGCUUACCAACCCGAUGCAAACUGCGAAUACCGGAGAAUGUUAUCACGGGAGACACACGGCGGGUGCUAACGUCCGUCGUGAAGAGGGAAACAACCCAGACCGCCAGCUAAGGUCCCAAAGUCAUGGUUAAGUGGGAAACGAUGUGGGAAGGCCCAGACAGCCAGGAUGUUGGCUUAGAAGCAGCCAUCAUUUAAAGAAAGCGUAAUAGCUCACUGGUCGAGUCGGCCUGCGCGGAAGAUGUAACGGGGCUAAACCAUGCACCGAAGCUGCGGCAGCGACACUGUGUGUUGUUGGGUAGGGGAGCGUUCUGUAAGCCUGUGAAGGUGGCCUGUGAGGGUUGCUGGAGGUAUCAGAAGUGCGAAUGCUGACAUAAGUAACGAUAAAGCGGGUGAAAAGCCCGCUCGCCGGAAGACCAAGGGUUCCUGUCCAACGUUAAUCGGGGCAGGGUGAGUCGACCCCUAAGGCGAGGCCGAAAGGCGUAGUCGAUGGGAAACGGGUUAAUAUUCCCGUACUUGGUGUUACUGCGAAGGGGGGACGGAGAAGGCUAUGUUGGCCGGGCGACGGUUGUCCCGGUUUAAGCGUGUAGGUGUGUGUUCCAGGUAAAUCCGGUUCACUUUAACACUGAGGCGUGAUGACGAGGCACUACGGUGCUGAAGCAACAAAUGCCCUGCUUCCAGGAAAAGCCUCUAAGCAUCAGGUAACAUCAAAUCGUACCCCAAACCGACACAGGUGGUCAGGUAGAGAAUACCAAGGCGCUUGAGAGAACUCGGGUGAAGGAACUAGGCAAAAUGGUGCCGUAACUUCGGGAGAAGGCACGCUGACACGUAGGUGAAGUGAUUUACUCAUGGAGCUGAAGUCAGUCGAAGAUACCAGCUGGCUGCAACUGUUUAUUAAAAACACAGCACUGUGCAAACACGAAAGUGGACGUAUACGGUGUGACGCCUGCCCGGUGCCGGAAGGUUAAUUGAUGGGGUCAGCGCAAGCGAAGCUCCUGAUCGAAGCCCCGGUAAACGGCGGCCGUAACUAUAACGGUCCUAAGGUAGCGAAAUUCCUUGUCGGGUAAGUUCCGACCUGCACGAAUGGCGUAAUGAUGGCCAGGCUGUCUCCACCCGAGACUCAGUGAAAUUGAACUCGCUGUGAAGAUGCAGUGUACCCGCGGCAAGACGGAAAGACCCCGUGAACCUUUACUAUAGCUUGACACUGAACAUUGAGCCUUGAUGUGUAGGAUAGGUGGGAGGCUUUGAAGUGUGGACGCCAGUCUGCAUGGAGCCGACCUUGAAAUACCACCCUUUAAUGUUUGAUGUUCUAACGUGGACCCGUUACCCGGGUUGCGGACAGUGUCUGGUGGGUAGUUUGACUGGGGCGGUCUCCUCCUAAAGAGUAACGGAGGAGCACGAAGGUUGGCUAAUCCUGGUCGGACAUCAGGAGGUUAGUGCAAUGGCAUAAGCCAGCUUGACUGCGAGCGUGACGGCGCGAGCAGGUGCGAAAGCAGGUCAUAGUGAUCCGGUGGUUCUGAAUGGAAGGGCCAUCGCUCAACGGAUAAAAGGUACUCCGGGGAUAACAGGCUGAUACCGCCCAAGAGUUCAUAUCGACGGCGGUGUUUGGCACCUCGAUGUCGGCUCAUCACAUCCUGGGGCUGAAGUAGGUCCCAAGGGUAUGGCUGUUCGCCAUUUAAAGUGGUACGCGAGCUGGGUUUAGAACGUCGUGAGACAGUUCGGUCCCUAUCUGCCGUGGGCGCUGGAGAACUGAGGGGGGCUGCUCCUAGUACGAGAGGACCGGAGUGGACGCAUCACUGGUGUUCGGGUUGUCAUGCCAAUGGCACUGCCCGGUAGCUAAAUGCGGAAGAGAUAAGUGCUGAAAGCAUCUAAGCACGAAACUUGCCCCGAGAUGAGUUCU
rnacentral:rRNA from 1 species